ACUGGCGCACGGGUGAGUAACACGUAUCCAACCUGCCGAUAACUCGGGGAUAGCCUUUCGAAAGAAAGAUUAAUACCCGAUAGUAUAAUGAAACCGCAUGGUCUUAUUAUUAAAGAAUUUCGGUUAUCGAUGGGGAUGCGUUCCAUUAGGCAGUUGGUGAGGUAACGGCUCACCAAACCUUCGAUGGAUAGGGGUUCUGAGAGGAAGGUCCCCCACAUUGGAACUGAGACACGGUCCAAACUCCUACGGGAGGCAGCAGUGAGGAAUAUUGGUCAAUGGGCGCAGGCCUGAACCAGCCAAGUAGCGUGAAGGAUGACUGCCCUAUGGGUUGUAAACUUCUUUUAUAUGGGAAUAAAGUUUUCCACGUGUGGAAUUUUGUAUGUACCAUAUGAAUAAGGAUCGGCUAACUCCGUGCCAGCAGCCGCGGUAAUACGGAGGAUCCGAGCGUUAUCCGGAUUUAUUGGGUUUAAAGGGAGCGUAGGUGGACAGUUAAGUCAGUUGUGAAAGUUUGCGGCUCAACCGUAAAAUUGCAGUUGAUACUGGCUGUCUUGAGUACAGUAGAGGUGGGCGGAAUUCGUGGUGUAGCGGUGAAAUGCUU
rnacentral:rRNA from 1 species